ACACUUUGUGGGUUCUAUUUAGAUGAUCAGUCAACACAAGGGAAAGACUUGAAGGAGCAAAGGUUUGUUCAUGAGCUGUAAUGCUCGCUAGGUGAAGCCCACGUGUUUUGAAAAAACAAAAGAAAAAAAAAAUUAAUAAAUUAAUUAGUUAAUUAAUUAAUUAAUAAAAGAAAAAAUCUCAGAUUUGGACCUCUCUCAAAAACCCACUAAGCUACCAAUAUAAAUUCAGAGUUUCAGUGAAACAAAAUUUCAUUCUAUUCCUAUUACCCUGCUGGAAAAAGAUAGUGAGAGAAGAGCUAACAGAGUUCAGAGCAACCUCCAGGCAACUCUGAAAGGUUCAUUCUGACUCACACACUUUCAGCUCAAACAAACCCUAACAUUGGUUUGCAAAUCCAGCCGUGCCAUUUGAUUUCAACCGAUCUCUC
rnacentral:lncRNA from 1 species